rnacentral:lncRNA from 1 species
AGGCGCUGGAGUUGGGGCAAAAGGGAGAGGGAGGGAGCCCGAAACUCGCGGCGGCGGCCAAUCGGCUCUCACUGCCGUCCAAUCGCAAGACCUAGCUGCAGUGUGAUUGGCCUUCGGCCCCGGUCCCAGGAGCGGGGAGAUGCCUGACUCGGGUCGUGGCUGACGACCCGACGGUUCGCCUGCGGCCGCCUCCAACAACGGUGGAAACCGCACACAGGGACCGCGGGCCCUCGGUGCAGCAAAUCGGAAAGUGCUGCGGUCGGCGGCCCUGGGCUCUGAGCGCUCAAGCGAGCAGAGGGGUGGAGGGGCUCUCCCCACCCACAGGAGGCUCUCGGCGGGGCGCAGCCAAUUCUGCGCGCCCAAGGCUCCCCUCUGCCGUGGAUCGCGUGUGCCGAGUGUUGGCCUCUUCCCCGAAAGGGCCAGACGGACCAAGGGGGCCUUCCCAGCCGGCUGCAAGCUCUCAGACGCUAAAAUGGGAACAAAGCUUCCAGAAAGGCAGCGCCUUUGGGCGGCCGCGCCCCGCCCAGCCGCGGGGGCCAUUGAUACAGAGGCUUGCUGCGCUUGGUGUGCGCGGCCCGGCCGGGCCUCUGGAAACGCCCAUGAGAAAUGAGCUCAUGCUGGAUGCGCGCGCUCCUUGGGCGCAACUGCCCAGCGCAAAACGGGCCCCGAAAGCAGAGUCUCGCUCUGUCGCACAGGCUGGAGUGCAGUGGCGCAAUCUCGGCUCACCGCAACCUCUGCUUCCUGGGUUCAAGUGAUUCUCCUGCCUCAGCCUCCCGAGGAGCUGCGACUACAGGCACGUGCCACCGCACCCAGCUAAUUUUUGUAUUUUUAGUAGAGACGGGGUUUCACCAUACUGGUCGGGCUGAUCUUGAACUCCUGACCUCAUGAUCCACCCGCCUCGGCCUCUCAAAGUGCUGGGAUUACAGGCGUGAGCCACCACGCUCGGCCAGUUUAAGUCUUAAGUGUUAAGGCAAAGCACUUAAGGUAGCCACACCUAUAAAGUGGAAUUGUCAGGUCAUUUUCAACCUAUUUCUUUGCCUAUGAGAGCUCUCAUGUGACAUAUGCCUAGUCUACCUUCAAAUGAGAAGAUAGCUGCCCUGUAAAGCACUUGGCUGUGGGAGGCACUCUCACUUCCCAAGAGGUUGUAUAUAACUGAGUCAAUGUACACUCAUGGGGAUGUCUAGGAGGCCAGAGAUCCACUUGCCAUUCAUGUGGCUCCAGAGGCAGUGGACUUCCAUGCUUCAUUACUCAUGGCCACUCCCCAAGAGUACCUGCUCUAAGUAGCCAUCAGUAAACCAUUCCAUAAAGAAAUGCUAAUGUGACCAGGUGGCCUAAAAGAGUCUGUGGUCUGCUGCUUCUUGGCCCUGGAUUAGGACUGUUUCUGUUGUUGGAAAAUAUUUGAUUCUUGAGGGGGAUGAAAUGAGGCAGCACCUGUGAAAAUUGUUUGAAAACUCUAAAGGCCCGUACUUGUGUAGAGGAUGUGGGUGAGAUGACUACUGGUAGACAAAAAAAGUUAAGCUCUCUACCCUGUAUUUUCCUCUUAGAUUACAAUUUCUUAUUUAAGUAUCUCUUCAAGAAGACUGGAGUGGAAUCUUUUCCCUUCUGGGUGGUAAAACUAAUGAGGGGAUGUUUGCCUUGACUUUGCUAUUACAGUAUAUGUGUGACAUCCCUAAAUCCACUCUAGUGCAUCUUACACACUUGUCAGAUUUAUCUAACUCUCACACCAUUGUCAUCACUUCCGCCUGCCCCUCAGGAACCUAAAUUGAUACCUCUGCCUAUCAUGGAAAAUCUAAACUCUUCAGUCUUGCAUUCAAAGUUCUCCUGCAACUACCUGCCCCAGCCUCCAUCAUCUUUCCAAUCUGACCUCUCCUUGCUUCACACUGUAGAAGCAGGUACUCUUGGAGCUGACAGUCAUCAAAAAGAUGGUGCAUAUCCAACUCUCACAUGUCAAAGAUGGGGAAACUGAAGCCCAGAGAAGUGAGGUGAAUAUUCCCAAGGCCACACACAGUCCUUCCACUGUGGCUAAGACGACAUGCUUUCCAUUCCACACACAACUUGCUCCUCUGGUCCUAAGCCAUGGGGCGAGGUGAGUAGAACUGGUACCCAGAAAACAGUAUGGCAUGGGAUAAAUGGUAGAUAAAGCAAUGUUGAGAAUUAAAAACUCCAAUGUGCUUACAACACAUAGCGUUCUCAGCAAGUGAACUUUAUAUAGAAUUUGCCACCCUCAUAGUAGGGAAUUCACUAAAGCUGGGAAUGAAUGUGCAAAUGUUUGUUUGCUUUGUUUUGUUUACCACAGAAGCGAAAUUUGUGACAAUCUUUUUCAACCUAAAUUGAAUAAAUGAUUCAGGACAAGAAAUGAUUACCAGAUGUGUCAGGGUUUUGAUGGGAAAUGGCCCAUCGAAUUAUUAUUGUUUGCCAAGUUUUCCCCUCACGAUUGAAGCUAACGAGGUCAUUUCAAGGGUAAUCAUGCUGGGGAACCUCGAUGCAAUGACGCUGUUACAACUUGCCCAAUUUGAAGCUAGGAAACCACGCCUCCUUUGGAAGGUUUAUGUGGUAGGAAAUGGGGGGUCAUUGGUGAUCGAAACCUCACUGAUUAUCAUGAAUGGCAAGAAGAGGAAAGCAGUGAAGGAAAAGCCCUGAUUACAAGAAUAUUGUUAAAUAAAUCAAAGGAAGUUUUAUAAAUAUUCAAAUAUGUAAUGUAAUUCAAAUGAGACGAAUCAACUUUCCACAUCUGCUUUGGUGAAUAGACAAGGAUACUUAAAAUUUGUGCAUUAAAUAUUUGAACAUAAAUUACUGCUUAUAAUGUGUUUGAGGUUUUUAAAAUGUUUUCUUUAGUAUUUAAAUCACCAUAGAACUGAAAAAAUAAAGCAUUUAAUCAUUA